AAUUCGAAGCAACGCGCAGAACCUUACCAACCCUUGACAUCCUGUUUAACUCGAGAUAUCGAGCGUUCACUUCGGUGACGCAGUGACAGGUGCUGCAUGCAUGUCGUCGGCUCGUGUCGUGAGAUGUUCGGUUAAGUCCGGCAACGAGCGCAACCCACAUCCUUAGUUGCCAGCAGUUCGGCUGGGCACUCUAAGGAAACUGCCCGUGAUAAGCGGGAGGAAGGUGUGGACGCCGUCAAGUCCUCAUGGCCCUGACGGGUUGGGCUACACACGUGCUACAAUAGCAGUGACAAUGGGUUAAUCCCAAAAAGCUGUCUCAGUUCGGAUUGGGGUCUGCAACUCGACCCCAUGAAGUCGGAAUCGCUAGUAAUCGCGUAACAGCAUGACGCGGUGAAUACGUUCCCGGGCCUUGUACACUUCCGCAU
rnacentral:rRNA from 1 species